CGCAAUGGGCGAAAGCCUGACGGAGCAAUACCGCGUGAGGGAUGACGGCCUUUGGGUUGUAAACCUCUUUUAUCAAGGAGGAAGUUCUGACGUGUACUUGAUGAAUAAGCAUCGGCUAACUCCGUGCCAGCAGCCGCGGUAAGACGGAGGAUGCAAGUGUUAUCCGGAAUCACUGGGCGUAAAGCGUCUGUAGGUGGUUUAAAAAGUCUGCUGUUAAAAAUUGAAGCUUAACUUCAAAGGUGCUGUAGAAACUUUUAAACUUGAGGAUGGUAGGGGUAGAGGGAAUUUCCAGUGGAGCGGUGAAAUGCGUAGAUCUUGGAAAUUAAUAGGACUCACU
rnacentral:rRNA from 1 species